UUAAGAAGUCUAUGGGACUAACGCUGCUUGCUUUUUGGAUAAUAAAUCAAUAUAUUUAUAAAUCAGACAAAUUAAGAACAAGAGCAAUGGCUAAGGAUCUUUUUUAUUGUGUUAUAAUUAGGAAAAAAAUUUAUAAUUAUUGUGUGUAUUUUGCAUGGUGCACAACAAAAAAUAUACAAAGAAACUAUCAGGCACACCUGGCCCCCAAAUAAUCAUGUUUAUUAUUGAUAUAGAAACAUACAAGAACGAGCUGAAUGCAGACUAUGCUCAGACUGAUUUCUGAUGACUUCUAAAACACAGAUCACAGUUUUGAAGACACCAGGAGCUGGAGAAUCCACCACUUCCCUGGGGAGUCUGUCCUAAUGGUUAAUCACGCUCACAGUGGAAAACUGGUGCCUUAUUUCUAAUCUGAAUUCAUCUUCCUUCAGCUUCCAACCAUCGGUUCUUGUUCUGCCUUUGUAGAAGGAGCAUUUUGGGGGGAAGAAAGUGGGUUUUCAGGCACUGACCCUGAGAAAGCCCCACUCCUGUGAUACAAAUAUCUAUUAGCUGGGGACACCUAAGUCUACUUCAUGUUGGGGCCAUUCAUGCUAACCCCCCAUUCCAUGCAAUAUAAGGCCGUGUUUAUUUCUAAUUUUCCCUUUAGAAGGUCCCAUUUCAUCCCCGCCCCUAAUACAGAACUCUGUUUAAGUGGAAGGGAAACAACUAACUGCCAUUGGGGGUUGGGGAAGGCCCAUUCUCACCCCGAGAGGGAGGAUGGCAAAUUAUCCUCAGACAUAGGAAUUUUAACUCCCAUAUUGAAAAGGAGUCACUAAUACAAGGGGAGGGGGGUUUCUUUUAAAAUUCCUCACAGGACAACAAAAACAAAAAUAAAAUGGGCUCCCCAGAUACUUUAUUAUCAUCUUUAACUUUGGGAGGAAUCCUAACCUGAAGAUUGGUCAAUAAGGCAGCUGGAAGCACGUAGUACAAAUUUUACCUUAAACCAAACCUACUUUGUAAAGAUUUAGUACUAUGAAGCAUUUUAUUUUUAUUUUUCUUCUAACGAUGUCUGACUUUAAUGCUUUAAUACUUGUACUCACUUAAAACCUAUUUCUUUAUAGUUAAAUAAACGUUUUUGUUUUUUAAUCAAAA